UUCGGGAAAAAUAAAGUGGUUAACUUAAGUAAUUCUGUUUUAUUUAUGUAGCAUCAUUCUAACAUAAAAAACUCAUAGUCAUAUUUUAAUUUUACAAUCUUUUAUGCAGGAAUCAUGUUAUUUGCAUUCCAAAAAGUUUUCUUUCAGUUGUUGUAUACUUAAAGGUAGGUUUAUUGGCGGGCUUUGUUUUCAAGGCGGCAAAUGUAUGUUGCGCGCGGGAGGCAGUGUGUCAUUAUUCAGGUGUAAAUGAUUAUCCAGACCGCUCCUGACAGAGUCAUCAUGUUAUAUUUGAACCGUCUUCACCAUAGACAUGGAAGGACAAGAAGUUCCUCUGAUGUUUCCAGUCCUGCUGUGAGCGCGACCACCUCUGAUGUGGGGAUGGAGUCUUCUAACUGGGUUUCAUCAUUUUCGUUAUUAAUAUUUUCAAUGGAAUAAAUAGCACAAUCCUUUCUGCAUAUUGUACAGUAUACACUAAAUAUGGCAUGUGCAUAUAUAAUAUAUACUAUUGUUUAAAAUUAUAAAAUAUAAAAUGAAGCAGUGCUAAACAUUCUAUUGUUGUUUGACCUCAGGUCUAAUUCAGCAAAUUACAUCUAAUUAUAAUAAAUAAAAUAAAAGAACUGUUAUUUUGUAUUACACUGCUGUUCAAAAAAUGGGGUUCUGUAAGUUUUUUAAUGUUUUUGAAAGAAGUCUCUUAUGUUCAUCAAGGCAGGGUUCAUUUGAUUAAAAAAAAAAUUGAGUAAAACUAAUAUUGUGAAAUUUUAUUAC